CCUACGGGAGGCAGCAGUGGGGAAUUUUGGACAAUGGGCGCAAGCCUGAUCCAGCAAUGCCGCGUGAGUGAAGAAGGCCUUCGGGUUGUAAAGCUCUUUUGUCAGGGAAGAAACGGUGUUUUCUAAUACAGAGCGCUAAUGACGGUACCUGAAGAAUAAGCACCGGCUAACUACGUGCCAGCAGCCGCGGUAAUACGUAGGGUGCAAGCGUUAAUCGGAAUUACUGGGCGUAAAGCGUGCGCAGGCGGUUUUGUAAGUCUGUCGUGAAAUCCCCGGGCUCAACCUGGGAAUGGCGAUGGAGACUGCAAGGCUAGAGUUUGGCAGAGGGGGGUAGAAUUCCACGUGUAGCAGUGAAAUGCGUAGAUAUGUGGAGGAACACCGAUGGCGAAGGCAGCCCCCUGGGUCAAAACUGACGCUCAUGCACGAAAGCGUGGGGAGCAAACAGGAUUAGAUACCCUGGUAGUCCACGCCCUAAACGAUGUCUACUAGUUGUCGGGUCUUAAUUGACUUGGUAACGCAGCUAACGCGUGAAGUAGACCGCCUGGGGAGUACGGUCGCAAGNUUAAAACGUCAAAGGAAUUGACGG
rnacentral:rRNA from 1 species